rnacentral:rRNA from 2 species
GUCGAACGAACUCUGGUAUUGAUUGGUGCUUGCAUCAUGAUUUACAUUUGAGUGAGUGGCGAACUGGUGAGUAACACGUGGGAAACCUGCCCAGAAGCGGGGGAUAACACCUGGAAACAGAUGCUAAUACCGCAUAACAACUUGGACCGCAUGGUCCGAGUUUGAAAGAUGGCUUCGGCUAUCACUUUUGGAUGGUCCCGCGGCGUAUUAGCUAGAUGGUGAGGUAACGGCUCACCAUGGCAAUGAUACGUAGCCGACCUGAGAGGGUAAUCGGCCACAUUGGGACUGAGACACGGCCCAAACUCCUACGGGAGGCAGCAGUAGGGAAUCUUCCACAAUGGACGAAAGUCUGAUGGAGCAACGCCGCGUGAGUGAAGAAGGGUUUCGGCUCGUAAAACUCUGUUGUUAAAGAAGAACAUAUCUGAGAGUAACUGUUCAGGUAUUGACGGUAUUUAACCAGAAAGCCACGGCUAACUACGUGCCAGCAGCCGCGGUAAUACGUAGGUGGCAAGCGUUGUCCGGAUUUAUUGGGCGUAAAGCGAGCGCAGGCGGUUUUUUAAGUCUGAUGUGAAAGCCUUCGGCUCAACCGAAGAAGUGCAUCGGAAACUGGGAAACUUGAGUGCAGAAGAGGACAGUGGAACUCCAUGUGUAGCGGUGAAAUGCGUAGAUAUAUGGAAGAACACCAGUGGCGAAGGCGGCUGUCUGGUCUGUAACUGACGCUGAGGCUCGAAAGUAUGGGUAGCAAACAGGAUUAGAUACCCUGGUAGUCCAUACCGUAAACGAUGAAUGCUAAGUGUUGGAGGGUUUCCGCCCUUCAGUGCUGCAGCUAACGCAUUAAGCAUUCCGCCUGGGGAGUACGGCCGCAAGGCUGAAACUCAAAGGAAUUGACGGGGGCCCGCACAAGCGGUGGAGCAUGUGGUUUAAUUCGAAGCUACGCGAAGAACCUUACCAGGUCUUGACAUACUAUGCAAAUCUAAGAGAUUAGACGUUCCCUUCGGGGACAUGGAUACAGGUGGUGCAUGGUUGUCGUCAGCUCGUGUCGUGAGAUGUUGGGUUAAGUCCCGCAACGAGCGCAACCCUUAUUAUCAGUUGCCAGCAUUAAGUUGGGCACUCUGGUGAGACUGCCGGUGACAAACCGGAGGAAGGUGGGGAUGACGUCAAAUCAUCAUGCCCCUUAUGACCUGGGCUACACACGUGCUACAAUGGAUGGUACAACGAGUUGCGAACUCGCGAGAGUAAGCUAAUCUCUUAAAGCCAUUCUCAGUUCGGAUUGUAGGCUGCAACUCGCCUACAUGAAGUCGGAAUCGCUAGUAAUCGCGGAUCAGCAUGCCGCGGUGAAUACGUUCCCGGGCCUUGUACACACCGCCCGUCACACCAUGAGAGUUUGUAACACCCAAAGUCGGUGGGGUAACCUUUUAGA